GGGGGGGGGGGGGGGGGGGGGGGGGGGGGGGGGGGCGGGCGGGGGGGCGCGUGUGGGGGUGCUCGGGUGGCGGGCGGGUGGGUGGCACGUGAGUAGCCUGCCCUUGACUUCGGUGUGCCUUCCGGAGACUUGGGCUACUACCGUCUAGGAAUCCUUUCUGCCUGUUUGUGGUUGGCCAGCUUCGGCGGGUUUGGCUGGACUCGCGGCUUAUCCGCUUGUUGGUGGGGUAGUGGCUUCCCCAGGCUUUGACGGGUAGCCGGCCUGCGAGGGCGACCGGCCACAUUGGGACUGAGAUACGGCCCAGACUCCGACGGGAGGCAGCAGUGGGGAAUAUUGCACAAUGGGCGGAAGCAUGAUGCAGCAACGCCGCGUGCGGGAUGACGGCCUUCGGGUUGUAAACCGCUUGCAGCAGGGGCGAAGCUUGUGGUGACGGUACCUGCAGAAGAAGCAACGGCUAACUACGUG
rnacentral:rRNA from 1 species